rnacentral:lncRNA from 1 species
GUCAGGCAUUAUCCUGGAGAAAAUAGCCAAAGGCAUGGCGUCCUGAGCCAUCAGACGUGAUCCAGAGCAUGGCCUUGGUCACGCCUUUGCUGGGCGGGGCCGGGCCAUCGCCGAAAAACAGAAUGGCCCGAGUGCACAGGAAUGGACCUUCGGUCCUGCACAAGUUCCUCCUCUCCUGCUGCUGACCACGCCUCGCUUCCUCCCUCCUCUCCCUCAGGACCUCUGCACCCCCCUCUACUCACCACACCACAACUCAAAGUGUGGUCCUUGCAUGGUCACUUGGAUGGUAAGGCAUGCGCGGCCUUGCACUUCUGAAGGAACCACGAGGUUCCUGCUCUCAGGACAGGUCAUGCCACGGCCAUGUUUUCCACUGCUAGUACCUGCUUCCCUGAUCAUCAGCACCUUCGCCACAGCCCUCCUCAGUUCUCUGUCCCUGGCAGCCUCCCUGAAGCCACGGCCUCCGGUACUUCCCCUGCCACGCCCCCAGCAGCCUUGGGGCACUUUUGUGCAGU